rnacentral:rRNA from 1 species
GUGCAGCAGGCGCGAAAACUUCACACUGUGCGAAAGCACGAUGAGGGAAUCCCAAGUGCUUGCACGUAAGUGUAAGCUGUUUCUCUGUCUAAAACGCAGAGAGAGUAAGGGCUGGGUAAGACGGGUGCCAGCCGCCGCGGUAAUACCUGCAGCUCAAGUGGUGACCGUUAUUAUUGGGCCUAAAACGUCCGUAGCCGGUUUAAUAAAUGCCUGGGUAAAUUGUGUAGCUUAACUAUACGAAUUCCGGGUAGACCGUUAAACUUGAGACCGGGAGAAGUUAGAGGUACUCCUGGGGUAGAGGUGAAAUUCUGUAAUCCUAGGGGACCACCAGUGGCGAAGGCGUCUAACUAGAACGGGUCUGACGGUGAGGGACGAAGCCCUGGGGCGC